rnacentral:rRNA from 1 species
UCUUGGUCAUUUAGAGGAAGUAAAAGUCGUAACAAGGUUUCCGUAGGUGAACCUGCGGAAGGAUCAUUACCGGGUUAAGGGGGGAAACCCCCGGACUCCCAACCCUUGCCUACCUACCACGUUGCUUCGGCGGGCCGGGGCCUGGUGCCCCCGCCCUCGCGGCGAGCGCCCGCCGAAGGUACACAGAACUCUGAUCCGUCACCGUCGUCCGAGCGAACGCGAAAACAAGUUAAAACUUUCAACAACGGAUCUCUUGGUUCUGGCAUCGAUGAAGAACGCAGCGAAAUGCGAUAAGUAAUGUGAAUUGCAGAAUUCAGUGAAUCAUCGAAUCUUUGAACGCACAUUGCGCCCCUUGGUAUUCCGGGGGGCAUGCCUGUCCGAGCGUCAUUUCACCAAUCAAGCCCCGCUUGGUAUUGGGCCUCGUCCGAUCAGGACGGGCCUUAAAGCCCCCGGCCGGGUGGUCCCGCUUCAAGCGUAGCAGAGCUUUCGCAGCCUCGCUUUGGAAGCCGGCGGCCCCGUCGAGCCGCGAAAGGGACCUCACACCGAAGGUUGACCUCGGAUCAGGUAGGGAUACCCGCUGAACUUAAGCAUAUCAAAA